rnacentral:rRNA from 1 species
UACAGAGGGUGCGAGCGUUAAUCGGAAUUACUGGGCGUAAAGCGCACGUAGGCGGCUUGGUAUGUCGGGUGUGAAAUCCCCGGGCUCAACCUGGGAACUGCAUCCGAAACUGCCUUGCUCGAGUAUGGGAGAGGGAAGUGGAAUUUCCGGUGUAGCGGUGAAAUGCGUAGAUAUCGGAAGGAACAUCAGUGGCGAAGGCGACUUCCUGGACCGAUACUGACGCUCAGGUGCGAAAGCGUGGGGAGCAAACAGG